GGGGGGGGGGGGGGGGGGGGGGGGGGGGGGGGGGGGGGGGGGGGGGGGGGGGGGGGGGGGGGGGGGGGGGGGGGGGGGGGGGGGGGGGGGCGCCGCCGGUGGGGCGGUGGAACCCUGCUGCCCCCGCCGCUGGGGGAAGGAAAAGCUCAGCCGUGGGUAGAGGGGCAGGAUGUGCCUGCCCUCCUGCGGACCGUUGCCGUCGGCUAGGCCUGAGAGGGAGGCUCAGCAGUGCUCAGGGAUUGCAGAUGGACACUGAGGGAUGUAAUUCAGGGAACCUGAUAUCUUCUAGCCAGCUUUGCCCCUUCAGAGCCAGCUUGGGUGUUUCUCUGCUGCACUGCCUCACCUGGUAUGUCUGGUUUCAUAGGAGAUAAUAGUACUUACUGCAGCCUGGAUUGUCCUGGGGAAAACUGUGGAGUCAUUUGGUACAGCACUGAGGGAAACUAUAUAAACAGAGGAGAGAAUUUAGAUUCUUAAUAUAAA
rnacentral:lncRNA from 12 species